AUAUACAAACCGACACACAGAGAGAGAAAAAAAAAAAAAAAGAGGUGGGGAGGGUGGGGGGGGGACGUAAUUUUCAUUUGCGUUUUCUUUUUUUUACUGUUUGUUUGAGUUUGUGUUUGUUUGGGUUUGUUUCUCGUUUCUUCUUCGAUUGUUA
rnacentral:ribozyme from 12 species